UACAGAGGGUGCAAGCGUUGUUCGGAAUUAUUGGGCGUAAAGCGCGUGUAGGCGGCUUAGCAAGUCGGGCGUGAAAGCCCUCGGCUCAACCGAGGAAGUGCACCCGAAACUGCUGAGCUUGAGUGCCGGAGAGGAUGGCGGAAUUCCCCAAGUAGAGGUGAAAUUCGUAGAUAUCGGGAGGAACACCGGUGGCGAAGGCGGCCCCCUGGUUGGAUACUGACGCUGAUACGCGAAAGCGUGGGGAGCAAACAGG
rnacentral:rRNA from 1 species